rnacentral:rRNA from 1 species
UACGUAGGGGGCAAGCGUUGUCCGGAAUCAUUGGGCGUAAAGAGCGUGUAGGCGGCCAGAUAAGUCCGCUGUGAAAUCUCGAGGCUCAACCUCGAGCUGUCGGCGGAAACCAUCUGGCUAGAGUCCGGAAGAGGAGAGUGGAAUUCCCGGUGUAGCGGUGAAAUGCGCAGAUAUCGGGAAGAACACCCGUGGCGAAGGCGGCUCUCUGGGACGGUACUGACGCUGAGACGCGAAAGCGUGGGGAGCGAACGGGAUUAG